UUUUUUUUUUAUUUUGUUGAAAUGAUUGUGUUUUUUUUGAAUUUUCUGUUUGGCAGGAAAACCAUUUAUGAAUGAUUCAUAUGAUGCAUGUGGGAAUACAAAUGGGUAAUUGGAUAUUUUUGUAGGAUUUUUAUUUUGUUUCCAAUGAUAUAUUGUUGGGGAAUAUCAUCAUCAAAGGGUUGACGGAAAAUAAUUUGUCAUCGUCAAAGGGUUGCCGGGAACAAGUAAAGGAUGACAUCACCAAAGGGUUGGUGGAAAAGGAAU
rnacentral:lncRNA from 1 species